rnacentral:piRNA from 1 species
CUGAACAUGAAUGUUUCCGGUAG